rnacentral:rRNA from 1 species
GACGAACGCUGGCGGCGUGCUUAACACAUGCAAGUCGAGCGGUAAGGCCCUUUCGGGGGUACACGAGCGGCGAACGGGUGAGUAACACGUGGGUGACCUGCCCUCAGCUCUGGGAUAAGCCCGGGAAACUGGGUCUAAUACUGGAUAUUACUCUGCGGUGCAUGCCGUGGGGUGGAAAGCCUUGUGCGGCUGGGGGAUGGGCCCGCGGCCUAUCAGCUUGUUGGUGGGGUGAUGGCCACCAAGGCGACGACGGGUAGCCGGCCUGAGAGGGCGACCGGCCACACUGGGACUGAGACACGGCCCAGACUCCUACGGGAGGCAGCAGUGGGGAAUCUUGCGCAAUGGGCGAAAGCCUGACGCAGCGACGCCGCGUGAGGGAUGACGGCCUGUGU